CCAGACUCCUACGGGAGGCAGCAGUUAGGAAUAUUCGUCAAUGGGGGAAACCCUGAACGAGCAAUGCCGCGUGAAGGAUGACGGUCCUAUGGAUUGUAAACUUCUGUUGUUAGGGAAGAACGACCUAAGUAGGAAAUGACUUAGGAGUGACGGUACCUUUCAAGAAAGCUCCGGCUAACUACGUGCCAGCAGCCGCGGUAAUACGUAGGGAGCAAGCGUUAUCCGGAUUUAUUGGGUGUAAAGGGUGCGUAGACGGGAAGGCAAGUUGGUUGUGAAAUCCCUCGGCUUAACUGAGGAACUGCAACCAAAACUAUCUUUCUUGAGUGCUGGAGAGGAAAGUGGAAUUCCUAGUGUAGCGGUGAAAUGCGUAGAUAUUAGGAGGAACACCAGUGGCGAAGGCGACUUUCUGGACAGUAACUGACGUUGAGGCACGAAAGUGUGGGGAGCAAACAGGAUUAGAUACCCUGGUA
rnacentral:rRNA from 1 species